UAAACGAUGAAUGUUAGUCGUCGGGUAGCUAGUCUAUUCGGUGAUGCAGCUAACGCAUUAAACAUUCCGCCUGGGGAGUACGGUCGCAAGAUUAAAACUCAAAGGAAUAGACGGGGACCCGCACAAGUGGUGGAGCAUGUGGUUUAAUUCGAAGAUACGCGAAGAACCUUACCUAGCCUUGACAUAUUUAAGAACUCCGUAGAGAUACAGAGGUGCCUUCGGGAGCUUUCUUACAGGUGCUGCACGGCUGUCGUCAGCUCGUGUCGUGAGAUGUUGGGUUAAGUCCCGCAACGAGCGCAACCCUCGUCACUAGUUACUAACGGUUCGGCCGAGGACUCUAGUGAGACUGCCUUCGUAAGGAGGAGGAAGGUGAGGACGACGUCAAGUCAUCAUGGCCCUUACGGCUAGGGCAACACACGUGCUACAAUGGCCAGGACAGUGAGACGCGAUACCGUGAGGUGGAGCAAAUCUAUAAACCUGGUCUCAGUUCGGAUUGUAGUCUGCAACUCGACUACAUGAAGCUGGAAUCACUAGUAAUCGUAGAUCAGCUAUGCUACGGUGAAUACGUUCCCGGGUCUUGUACUCACCGCCCGUCACACCAUGGGAGUUGAUUUCACCCGAAGCGGGGAAGCUAAACUGGCUACCCUCCACGGUGGAAUUAGCGACUGGGGUGAAGUCGUAACAAGGUA
rnacentral:rRNA from 1 species